AGACAGUACAGAAUGAACCUUGGAGGAGGAGUCCCUGCUGGGGUUGUGUAGAUAUGCACAACCUUCAGUUUCCUGACCU
ensembl:misc_RNA